AGAGGAAUAGCUGGGUCAAAUGGUGGUUCCAUUACCAGCUUACCAAGGAAUCUUCAUAUUGCUUUCCAAAUUGGCUGCACCAAUUUGCAGUCCCACCAGCAGU
rnacentral:pre_miRNA from 1 species